AUAAUGGGUCAGCGACUUAUAUUCUGUAGCAAGGUUAACCGAAUAGGGGAGCCGAAGGGAAACCGAGUCUUAACUGGGCGUUAAGUUGCAGGGUAUAGACCCGAAACCCGGUGAUCUAGCCAUGGGCAGGUUGAAGGUUGGGUAACACUAACUGGAGGACCGAACCGACUAAUGUUGAAAAAUUAGCGGAUGACUUGUGGCUGGGGGUGAAAGGCCAAUCAAACCGGGAGAUAGCUGGUUCUCCCCGAAAGCUAUUUAGGUAGCGCCUCGUGAAUUCAUCUCCGGGGGUAGAGCACUGUUUCGGCAAGGGGGUCAUCCCGACUUACCAACCCGAUGCAAACUGCGAAUACCGGAGAAUGUUAUCACGGGAGACACACGGCGGGUGCUAACGUCCGUCGUGAAGAGGGAAACAACCCAGACCGCCAGCUAAGGUCCCAAAGUCAUGGUUAAGUGGGAAACGAUGUGGGAAGGCCCAGACAGCCAGGAUGUUGGCUUAGAAGCAGCCAUCAUUUAAAGAAAGCG
rnacentral:rRNA from 1 species